GGCCGGUUUUCACUGACGGCAGAGGCGGGGCUGUGUGGGGUUCUCAUGUUUGUUUACCUGCACAGCACAGCGGUUAUGAGCACACGCUCUGGAGUGACUGGGGCUUUGGUUCAGCUCUCUUCUCCGUCAGGUGACUUUGGACAAGUGACUUCACAGGGUGUUGGGAAGAUUAGCGAGAUAAUGCAUGUGGAGCGCUCGGUGUGUGCUGUGUGUACCAGGAAGCGGCGGCUGCUCUUAUAAUUGGUUCCGUGACUCUGCCACCUCCCUGGGCACGGACUCAGCCCGGUAGCUGUGGCAUCUGCACCUCCCAGACUCUUAACGUUGUCCUGUCAGCCAAACUGCUGGCCAGCAGCCCCCCCGGGGCUUGGAGGCGGUCUCGCUGCCUGGCAGGAGCCGGCAUCACAGGCGUGCAGAGCACAGAGGCUGCCUGGGCUGAGCAGACCGGCUCGUAGCCCCAGCCUGGCUCUAACUACUGCAGGAACUGAUGGGAACACAGACUCCGCAGGCCUCUGCCUCUUGGCCUAGAAGAUAGGAGGAUAUGACUGACUGACCUUUGAAAGCCACUUCCAGAGCGAGAAGCUGGUGCACACGACAGCAUUUAUAGAGCACGUGGACGGCAUCUGCAGAGAGCAGCCGUAGACCAAGCGAGCAGCGUAAAAUGUCGUUGAGUCUUUACUCUGCUUUGGGUGACCAGCAACCAUGUGUGAGCCUGGUUUCCUCCUCCGUAAAAGAGGCAGCAGUAAUAACGGUGCUCAUUGGAUGCAACCAUUCCCAGGAUGCCUCUGGGUGCCACCCGUCUGUCCACCCAGGAUUAUCUCCAAAGCCCCAACUCUCCUCUUGCCCCCAUCUGGCCUCCCCCAGGACCACUGCCAGCUGAAGACCUACUGUGUGCUCUUACAUCUGUGGGCUCAUUGAACCUGCAGCUUCCCCCUGGAGGUGAAUCUCAUCAGAUCUGUCGUUUGCACCGAUGAGGAACCGGAGGUUCAGAGUGGAGAGGGGAGCUCCAGGACCCCAGGACCUGCCUGUGGUGCAGGGAGAUUUGCCGCCGUCCCUGCUGCCCUUCAUCCUCUGAUAAACAGUGUAAUCAAUGGUGUC